UUAAGCAGCCACACUGUCCUGCGAGUGCCGUUCCGUCAGAUCUUGGAGGUUAAGCAAGGCUGGGUUAGUACAUGGAUGAAAAACCACACUGGAAGACCGGGGGCCACUAGAC
rnacentral:rRNA from 12 species